AUCGCUUCUCGGUCUCUAUGGCUCAGAUCAAGUGUAGUGUCUGGUCUUCUCCGUUUAAUCUCAUGUGUGUUCUCCAGGCGAGAGCUUCCUAUUCCACGGAUUUUUGGAACAGGGAGCGGGAUGAGGAGCUCGUUCCGUCCGCUCCACGCAUCAGCCCGGUGUUGCGGUGCUGCCGGGCGCGGUGCCCUUCCC
rnacentral:snRNA from 1 species